rnacentral:rRNA from 1 species
CUCCUACGGGAGGCAGCAGUGGGGAAUAUUGGGCAAUGGGCGCAAGCCUGACCCAGCAACGCCGCGUGAAGGAAGAAGGUUUUCGGAUCGUAAACCUCUGUCCUUGGUGAAGAGAAGAAGACGGUAGCCAAGGAGGAAGCCCCGGCUAACUACGUGCCAGCAGCCGCGGUAAUACGUAGGGGGCAAGCGUUAUCCGGAUUUACUGGGUGUAAAGGGAGCGUAGACGGCUAUGCAAGUCUGGAGUGAAAGGCGGGGGCCCAACCCCCGGACUGCUCUGGAAACUGUAGAGCUAGAGUGCAGGAGAG